CAUAGGUUAAUGAGGCGAACCGGGGGAACUGAAACAUCUAAGUACCCCGAGGAAAAGAAAUCAACCGAGAUUCCCCCAGUAGCGGCGAGCGAACGGGGAGCAGCCCAGAGCCUGAAUCAGUGUGUGUGUUAGUGGAAGCGUCUGGAAAGGCGUGCGAUACAGGGUGACAGCCCCGUACACAAAAAUGCACAUGCUGUGAGCUCGAUGAGUAGGGCGGGACACGUGGUAUCCUGUCUGAAUAUGGGGGGACCAUCCUCCAAGGCUAAAUACUCCUGACUGACCGAUAGUGAACCAGUACCGUGAGGGAAAGGCGAAAAGAACCCCGGCGAGGGGAGUGAAAAAGAACCUGAAACCGUGUACGUACAAGCAGUGGGAGCACAGAGCAAUCUGUGUGACUGCGUACCUUUUGUAUAAUGGGUCAGCGACUUAUAUUCUGUAGCAAGGUUAACCGAAUAGGGGAGCCGAAGGGAAACCGAGUCUUAACUGGGCGUUAAGUUGCAGGGUAUAGACCCGAAACCCGGUGAUCUAGCCAUGGGCAGGUUGAAGGUUGGGUAACACUAACUGGAGGACCGAACCGACUAAUGUUGAAAAAUUAGCGGAUGACUUGUGGCUGGGGGUGAAAGGCCAAUCAAACCGGGAGAUAGCUGGUUCUCCCCGAAAGCUAUUUAGGUAGCGCCUCGUGAAUUCAUCUCCGGGGGUAGAGCACUGUUUCGGCAAGGGGGUCAUCCCGACUUACCAACCCGAUGCAAACUGCGAAUACCGGAGAAUGUUAUCACGGGAGACACACGGCGGGUGCUAACGUCCGUCGUGAAGAGGGAAACAACCCAGACCGCCAGCUAAGGUCCCAAAGUCAUGGUUAAGUGGGAAACGAUGUGGGAAGGCCCAGACAGCCAGGAUGUUGGCUUAGAAGCAGCCAUCAUUUAAAGAAAGCGUAAUAGCUCACUGGUCGAGUCGGCCUGCGCGGAAGAUGUAACGGGGCUAAACCAUGCACCGAAGCUGCGGCAGCGACGCUUAUGCGUUGUUGGGUAGGGGAGCGUUCUGUAAGCCUGCGAAGGUGUGCUGUGAGGCAUGCUGGAGGUAUCAGAAGUGCGAAUGCUGACAUAAGUAACGAUAAAGCGGGUGAAAAGCCCGCUCGCCGGAAGACCAAGGGUUCCUGUCCAACGUUAAUCGGGGCAGGGUGAGUCGACCCCUAAGGCGAGGCCGAAAGGCGUAGUCGAUGGGAAACAGGUUAAUAUUCCUGUACUUGGUGUUACUGCGAAGGGGGGACGGAGAAGGCUAUGUUGGCCGGGCGACGGUUGUCCCGGUUUAAGCGUGUAGGCUGGUUUUCCAGGCAAAUCCGGAAAAUCAAGGCUGAGGCGUGAUGACGAGGCACUACGGUGCUGAAGCAACAAAUGCCCUGCUUCCAGGAAAAGCCUCUAAGCAUCAGGUAACAUCAAAUCGUACCCCAAACCGACACAGGUGGUCAGGUAGAGAAUACCAAGGCGCUUGAGAGAACUCGGGUGAAGGAACUAGGCAAAAUGGUGCCGUAACUUCGGGAGAAGGCACGCUGAUAUGUAGGUGAAGCGACUUGCUCGUGGAGCUGAAAUCAGUCGAAGAUACCAGCUGGCUGCAACUGUUUAUUAAAAACACAGCACUGUGCAAACACGAAAGUGGACGUAUACGGUGUGACGCCUGCCCGGUGCCGGAAGGUUAAUUGAUGGGGUUAGCGCAAGCGAAGCUCUUGAUCGAAGCCCCGGUAAACGGCGGCCGUAACUAUAACGGUCCUAAGGUAGCGAAAUUCCUUGUCGGGUAAGUUCCGACCUGCACGAAUGGCGUAAUGAUGGCCAGGCUGUCUCCACCCGAGACUCAGUGAAAUUGAACUCGCUGUGAAGAUGCAGUGUACCCGCGGCAAGACGGAAAGACCCCGUGAACCUUUACUAUAGCUUGACACUGAACAUUGAGCCUUGAUGUGUAGGAUAGGUGGGAGGCUUUGAAGUGUGGACGCCAGUCUGCAUGGAGCCGACCUUGAAAUACCACCCUUUAAUGUUUGAUGUUCUAACGUGGACCCGU
rnacentral:rRNA from 1 species